rnacentral:lncRNA from 1 species
GGUGGUGGUUUGGGAGACUUGGACUGUGGUGAUAAUUUUGGACUUGGAUACUGGUGACAUUUUGGACUUGGAUUCUGGCAAAGGUUUGGACUUGGAUACUGGUGACGUUUUUGGACUCGAAUUCUGGUGAAGGUUUGGACUCAGAUAUUGGUGAACCUGCUUGAACUUUGACACGGGUUUCUCUGUAUAGCCCUGGCUUGGGGGUUGUGC